GGUGAGGGGGGCGGGGCGGCGCUGAGGGGCGGCUGUUACCCUCCCCGGACCCGCGUCGGGGCGGCCUGACCUGGGCACCUCGAAAUGGAGCGCGUGAGGCAGCUCUGUUUGAAAUUCAUUCCCUAUAAAAAGUAGUUGACGGAGGAGUUUGUAUUCGCGUUUGAAUGCUUGCGUGCAGCUUCUAGGCAUAAAGGCUUUUUUCUGCGUCGUGAGGGGUAGGACGACGUAAUUUGGGAGAACUGCAAUCCAGUGUUGUAUCACAGAUAAUUACAAGGACAUGGACAAGAGAGGCGACGGUGCAUCAGCUGCCUCAGCUUAGAAGCUUUUUUCAGCUGUUUUUAUCCUUUUUCUUCAAAUAAAGGUGUAACAAGCUUUUACAGUGUA